NGUAGGGAUCAUACCAGCANUNAUACACGAGAUCCCAUCAGAACUCCGCAGUUAAGNGUGCUUGGGCGAAUAUUGUAAUAGGAUGGGUGACCUCCCGGGAAGUCCUNGUGUUGCAUCCCUCUUU
rnacentral:rRNA from 14 species